rnacentral:lncRNA from 1 species
CAGGGAUAGAAAAGCCAAAGAAAGGUCGCAGAGGAUCGGACAAAGAUGUCUCUAGUCGGGAAACAUUGACCAAGAAUGAGAAAGAACACGAGCCAACAGAGAAAAGUCGGGAAACACUAACGAAGACUGAAAAGGAUCGUGAGGGCACGGAGAAAAGUGAGAAAGAAGCAUCGAAGCUGUCCAGGAAGAGCUCGGGGAGCACAAAAUCAAAGGGAUCGAGGAAGGGUUCGUCGG